ACAGCAUACCGUAAAGAUAUACGCUAUUGCUACAUGAAUUAACGUAUAUCACCACUGAUCUUACUGACUGUUUGUUAAUGUGCAAAAACAAAAUGUGAACACGUUCUAAAUCACCUGUUUCGAUUUGGCAACGUGAUAGUUCGUGUGACGUCACCUAUAUUCGUGAGUCUGUUCCAUGAAACUACUUCCUGUAGCAUAAUGGCUUAAAUCAGCCUUGUAUGGCUACAAAAGUGCAUCUAGUCCAUCUAAAUGCAUUGUAUAUUACUACACAGCCGUGACUCGAAGUAAAAUAACUUCUGUCACUGGUGGAGUGCAAUUUCCCCACGUUCCACCGACCGUAUCCUCGUGCGAGAGACUACUUCCGGUAUGACGUCACUUUGUUGACAGUUUGAUCGGUUGUAGAUUUUCUGAUACGAGAGUGAAAGCCGGUUCGAGCCGAGAUAUACUGCCUUUGAAACAAUGUGAUACAUUGUGAUACUGACACACAUCAGAUUAACAUAACAACAUGUCCAGCCUGUCUGGACUGCAGCACCAUGGUGGAUGAGGAACACAGCCUAGCAAGCCACAAGUGAUCACGCCUCACAGGAAACAAGUACAACAACGGUCAACCUUUCACACAGCUUCUCCAGCAGUCAACAGGUGCCCUUUGCUGUAUCCCGACUGAAUGCUGAUGAUCUGUGCAGGCAGCAGCAGCAACAACAACAGCGAACAGCAAGCCAGCAUAAGUACAUUAGUAUCAAAUAUAUACAACAUGAAUGACUACAUAUAUCAAACAGAUUAAAAAGGUAUAAAGUGUACCUUGAUCGUUUAAAAAAGUUGAUCUGUUUAUCUCCAGCCAGAGAAUUUGAUUGCACGAUUUAAUCAUCAGCGUAACAUGAACCUCUCCCCAAACUACAGUCGGAGAUGAAGCCGAAAGACAGCCCUUUGAUGUUGCAGCAUUAAUAUCCAAUCUGACCACCAACACAUCGUAAACAGCACACAAUGUAAAUGCAUUGUCAGCAGUCUUCUAAUAUCUGUUACCAAAGAGCUGCCUUUCAAACAUCAGCAAGAUUAAACCUUACUCCAUCAUUCAAAUCUACAUCAAGAGGCAACUUUCUUCAUUCAAUCCUCUUUUGUCCAUUAUCAAUACGUUUCCUCGACAACUGUGUGACUCUUGUAUACAUACAUUCUUUCUAGAAAACUACAGAACACAUUUAUAUCAAAUCGCAUCCUUCUUCGGUCUUGCUCAGGGUCCAUGAUGUUGCGGUCAGCAUUUGAAGCAGGUGUUAUACAUGAUGUUGAUGAAGCUGGGUGGGUGAUGUGUUGCAGGGUUAACUUAAUGCAGUGUUGGACUCCGAUGGGUAAUCUCACCGCAUGAAGUAAUGACACCAUCAACCCUACCCUACAUAGAUCUGACUGACCUAGUUACUAGAUGAAGCAGAUGGACACUGGACAGCAAUGGCGUGACACAGCAUCAUGGACCGUGGACUGUAGUGGGAGAGGUUGAAGCUGCUUCAGGCAGAUACUGCCCAGUGGAAGGUAUCAUCAGUCAUCUCCUGUACCCACAAGGUCACAAGAUGUCAUUUCCGGUCUCUCAAAAGUCAUAAAGGUGUCAUCUAUGACGUCACUUCCGGUAUUGGUUCCGAUCGUGACGUCACUUAUUCCACUUGUGAUGUCACUUCAAGUCAAUAGGAAAGCCCGAAGUGAUUCAGGUUUUUAGAAGUUACCACUUUGGUGAAACCCACAAGCUCGGAUGUGCUGCUUACAAAUCUAGUAAACAUUACCAGGGCGAACCAGGAUUCAAACCCACGGCAAACUGCGGCACCUUAGACGACUGGGCACCCCGUGCCCCCACAGCACCAUGAUGUGACAGACACUGACAGCAUAUACUUACGCAUACACAUUAUGCUGCAGGUUUGGUGUUCCUGGCUCGGAGACCUGCUGUUGACUGGCUGGGGUACUGCCAUCUGACACACUUGGGGACAGCGACUCGUUAGACGUACUGUGGCGCCGAUGUUUACCAUCAGCCUCACCUAGAUAAUUCUGGAACACAUAACACAAACACUCCUUUCAUCACUCAAUAUGUCCACACUACCUAGUAAGUUGAAUGCUGACUUUCGUGGAACCUCGAUAGCCUGGAAAUAAUUUAGGGACAAUGUUGAACAUGAAACUCAUUAUUGCCGGACACUUGUUUAUCCAAGCCACUGAUUUCAGCAAGCAAGUCAUCUCUAUGAACACAGUAGGUAGAUUUACGUAGUCAGUAGUGAUGGGUAUUGGCCUUUUGUAUUGCCAUAAAUUGCAAUAAUGAUUCAUGUAUUGCGAUACAUACCACGAUAUAUUGCAUGCCUUCUUUCAUUUGUAAUUUGUAACAAAAUAAUAAAAAAGGUCACAUACAUCACACUUCCCCUGCAGUUUUUUGACAACUUUGUAGUAGUCCACCAUUUUGUUGGAUGUUACUCUGACCACAACACAAACGUAAUAGACAGAUCAUAUACAGGAGGCUGGUCGUGAAUAAAUUUGCUUCUUCGAUCACAGGAAUCAGAUGCUAAUUUCAUAAUUUCAACUGGAGUUGUCACUGAUGUACAUUUUGCCAACAAGAUGAAAAUAUGCAUGAUUUUGAAAAACCCAAUAUACACCAGUAUUUUCCAAACAUAUUGUCGGAAGUUUUCAUACGUAAUUCAAAUUGUGGUAUACUGGCAACACCUAUAGCCGUCAGACAGAGCAAGUAAGGUUUUGGGACAAUCCUUAAGAACUCUCCAGUAUAAUGUUAUAUGUUUACGGACCUACUGAUUGACAAGAGUGAUCUAACUGACGUGUCUGUGUGUCCACCUGCCCCCUGUGUCUGUACUUGGAAUCAUAUUGUUUAAAUGGCAUCAACGUGUUUUCACUCACCUCAAACUUUUGCAGAUCUUGCCGUAGAUCAUCUAUCUUUUGAGCAUUUUCUUCUAUUUUCUUAUCUAAGGUACUUGGAUCUCCUAGAGCCGGGUUGUUUGCAUAAACAUCUUUCAUCUUCAACAUGCCUUCCCUGUAACAGCAAGCCAUGGAUACAGUCAAACACUGUUGUGUUGAAGUUGAGAGACCUAUGUAAAUACUGAGGUUCCACACAACCCAAAAUGAUAAAUAAAGAAGGAACAUGCAGGGACAAUGCUUUAACUUCCAGACAACACUUCUUCCGACGCUGAUUGGGAGGCAGGUCACUGAAGUCUUCCUUUGGGUCAUCCACCUGAAGACAAUCAAACCAGUCAUAUCUCACUCUGAACUGGUCAAUAUCCAUGUAAACGCCCACCAUCAAGCAGACAUGUCACAAGUAUCUUUAACAAAUCGUUUCUAACAAAACAUUUUGUAUUUACCACAAAGCAUGUCAUUCACAUAACAAUACUCUACAUGAUCAUUAAGCAAAGCGAAAUAAGCUGCUAAAUUUGCAUUCUUUAUCUGUGGGAUCAUGCCAUGUUACACAAAAUUACUCAAUGUUAAUUUCAUGGCCGGUCACAAUUCAUAUACAAUGAUAUGGCUGUAUGUCACUGAAAUGACCGCACAUCAUCAUCAUCAUCAUCAUUCCUAAAGGACAACUGUAAUAAUGACAAUGCCACAACGAGGUCAAGGGGCCUCAUACUAGCAUCUACCACUGAUAACCCUCAACAUGCACGCAUGCAAUACCAAAGCAUACCACAGCAUGCAAUUUCUACCACUGCUGUUUAUAACCACCUAAAACCGUUUUGGUAUUCCACUUACUCAUGUGUAAGCACGAGACAGCGAUUAAGCUGUCUAUACUGUUUCAUUACAAAAUGUUAUCAGAUGAAAUACUUAAAUUAA